UGUUCUGUGGUUAAGGUUGGUAAAAGCGCUGGUCUAGCGAAUACAGAGUCGUGGGCUUGAAUCCCACCAGAACAC
rnacentral:tRNA from 1 species